rnacentral:rRNA from 1 species
AUUGAACGCUGGCGGCAUGCUUUACACAUGCAAGUCGAACGGUAACAGGGGAGCUUGCUCCCGCUGACGAGUGGCGAACGGGUGAGUAAUGCAUCUGAACGUGCCGCAUAGUGGGGGAUAACGCACCGAAAGGUGUGCUAACACCGCAUACGCCCUGAGGGGGUAAGCGGGGAGCCGCGAGGCCUCACGCUAAUCGAGCGGCCGAUGUGGGGUUAGCUUGUUGGUGGGGUAAAGGCGCACCAAGGCGACGAGCCGCAGCGGGUCUGAGAGGAUGAUCCGCCACACUGGGAUUGAGACACGGCCCAGACUCCUACGGGGGGCAGCAGUGGGGAAUUUUGGACAAUGGGGGAAACCCUGAUCCAGCCAUGCCGCGUGUCUGAAGAAGGCCUUCGGGUUGUAAAGGACUUUUGUCCGGGAGGAAACCCUGAUCGUUAAUAGCGGUCGGGACUGACAGUACCGGAAGAAUAAGCACCGGCUAACUACGUGCCAGCAGCCGCUGUAACAC